UGCAAGCUUGAGUGAGGAAGAGGGUKGUGGAAUUUCCAGUGUAGAGGUGAAAUUCGUAGAUAUUGGAAAGAACACCGGUGGCGAAGGCGGCAACCUGGUUCUUCACUGACGCUGAGGCGCGAAAGCGUGGGGAGCAAACAGGAUUAGAUACCCUGGUAGUCCACGCUGUAAACGAUGUGUGCUGGAUGUUGGGGAACUUAGUUUCUCAGUGUCGUAGCUAACGCGAUAAGCACACCGCCUGGGGAGUACGGCCGCAAGGU
rnacentral:rRNA from 1 species